rnacentral:rRNA from 1 species
AGCCUGAUCCAGCCAUGCCGCGUGGGUGAAGAAGGCCUUCGGGUUGUAAAGCCCUUUUGUUGGGAAAGAAAAGCAGUCGGUUAAUACCCGAUUGUUCUGACGGUACCCAAAGAAUAAGCACCGGCUAACUUCGUGCCAGCAGCCGCGGUAAUACGAAGGGUGCAAGCGUUACUCGGAAUUACUGGGCGUAAAGCGUGCGUAGGUGGUGGUUUAAGUCUGUUGUGAAAGCCCUGGGCUCAACCUGGGAAUUGCAGUGGAUACUGGGUCACUAGAGUGUGGUAGAGGGUAGCGGAAUUCCCGGUGUAGCAGUGAAAUGCGUAGAGAUCGGGAGGAACAUCCGUGGCGAAGGCGGCUACCUGGACCAACACUGACACUGAGGCACGAAAGCGUGGGGAGCAAACAGGAUUAGAUACCCUGGUAGUCCACGCCCUAAACGAUGCGAACUGGAUGUUGGGUGCAAUUUGGCACGCAGUAUCGAAGCUAACGCGUUAAGUUCGCCGCCUGGGGAGUACGGUCGCAAGACUGAAACUCAAAGGAAUUGACGGGGGCCCGCACAAGCGGUGGAGUAUGUGGUUUAAUUCGAUGCAACGCGAAGAACCUUACCUGGUCUUGACAUCCACGGAACUUUCCAGA